rnacentral:rRNA from 1 species
UAAGCAUAUCAAUAAGCGGAGGAAAAGAAACCAACAGGGAUUGCCCUAGUAACGGCGAGUGAAGCGGCAACAGCUCAAAUUUGAAAUCUGGCGUCUUUGGCGUCCGAGUUGUAAUUUGCAGAGGGCGCUUUGGCGUUGGCAGCGGUCCAAGUUCCUUGGAACAGGACGUCACAGAGGGUGAGAAUCCCGUACGUGGUCGCUGGCCUUCGCCGUGUAAAGCCCCUUCGACGAGUCGAGUUGUUUGGGAAUGCAGCUCUAAAUGGGAGGUAAAUUUCUUCUAAAGCUAAAUACUGGCCAGAGACCGAUAGCGCACAAGUAGAGUGAUCGAAAGAUGAAAAGCACUUUGGAAAGAGAGUUAAAAAGCACGUGAAAUUGUUGAAAGGGAAGCGCUUGCAGCCAGACUUGCCUGUAGUUGCUCAUCCGGGUUUUUACCCGGUGCACUCUUCUGCGGGCAGGCCAGCAUCAGUUUGGGCGGUUGGAUAAAGGUCUCUGUCAUGUACCUCUCUUCGGGGAGAACUUAUAGGGGAGACGACAUGCAACCAGCCUGGACUGAGGUCCGCGCAUCUGCUAGGAUGCUGGCGUAAUGGCUGUAAGCGGCCCGUCUUGAAACACGGACCAAGGAGUCUAACAUCUAUGCGAGUGUUUGGGUGUCAAGCCCGAGCGCGUAAUGAAAGUGAACGGAGGUGGGAACCUUUCGGGGUGCACCAUCGACCGAUCCUGAUGUCUUCGGAUGGAUUUGAGUAAGAGCAUAGCUGUUGGGACCCGAAAGAUGGUGAACUAUGCUUGAAUAGGGUGAAGCCAGAGGAAACUCUGGUGGAGGCUCGCAGCGGUUCUGACGUGCAAAUCGAUCGUCAAAUUUGGGCAUAGGGGCGAAAGACUAAUCGAACUAUCUAGUAGCUGGUUCCUGCCGAAGUUUCCCUCAGGAUAGCAGUAACGUUUUCAGUUUUAUGAGGUAAAGCGAAUGAUUAGAGGCCUGGGGGUUGAAACAACCUUCACCUAUUCUCAAACUUUAAAUAUGUAAGAAGUCCUUGUUACUUGAUUGAACGUGGACACUUGAAUGUAUCGUUACUAGUGGGCCAUUUUUGGUAAGCAGAACUGGCGAUGCGGGAUGAACCGAACGUGGGGUUAAGGUGCCAGAAUAUACGCUCAUCAGACACCA